UAAAAACACAGCACUCUGCAAACACGAAAGUGGACGUAUAGGGUGUGACGCCUGCCCGGUGCCGGAAGGUUAAUUGAUGGGGUUAGCGCAAGCGAAGCUCUUGAUCGAAGCCCCGGUAAACGGCGGCCGUAACUAUAACGGUCCUAAGGUAGCGAAAUUCCUUGUCGGGUAAGUUCCGACCUGCACGAAUGGCGUAACGAUGGCGGCGCUGUCUCCACCCGAGACUCAGUGAAAUUGAAAUCGCUGUGAAGAUGCAGUGUAUCCGCGGCUAGACGGAAAGACCCCGUGAACCUUUACUAUAGCUUUGCACUGGACUUUGAAUUUGCUUGUGUAGGAUAGGUGGGAGGCUUUGAAGUGGGGACGCCAGUUCUCAUGGAGCCAUCCUUGAAAUACCACCCUGGCAACUUUGAGGUUCUAACUCAGGUCCGUUAUCCGGAUCGAGGACAGUGUAUGGUGGGUAGUUUGACUGGGGCGGUCUCCUCCCAAAGAGUAACGGAGGAGUACGAAGGUGCGCUCAGACCGGUCGGAAAUCGGUCGUAGAGUAUAAAGGCAAAAGCGCGCUUGACUGCGAGACAAACACGUCGAGCAGGUACGAAAGUAGGUCUUAGUGAUCCGGUGGUUCUGUAUGGAAGGGCCAUCGCUCAACGGAUAAAAGGUACUCCGGGGAUAACAGGCUGAUACCGCCCAAGAGUUCAUAUCGACGGCGGUGUUUGGCACCUCGAUGUCGGCUCAUCACAUCCUGGGGCUGAAGCCGGUCCCAAGGGUAUGGCUGUUCGCCAUUUAAAGUGGUACGCGAGCUGGGUUUAGAACGUCGUGAGACAGUUCGGUCCCUAUCUGCCGUGGACGUUUGAGAUUUGAGAGGGGCUGCUCCUAGUACGAGAGGACCGGAGUGGACGAACCUCUGGUGUUCCGGUUGUCACGCCAGUGGCAUUGCCGGGUAGCUAUGUUCGGAAGAGAUAACCGCUGAAAGCAUCUAAGCGGGAAACUUGCCUCAAGAUGAGAUCUCACUGGGAUCUUGAAUCCCCUAAAGGGCCGUCGAAGACUACGACGUUGAUAGGUUGGGUGUGUAAGCGCUGUGAGGCGUUGAGCUAACCAAUACU
rnacentral:rRNA from 1 species